GACGAACCGUGCGAACGUUAUUCGGAAUCACUGGGCUUAAAGCGCGUGUAGGCGGAUGGGAACGUCGGUCGCUGAAAUCCCCCGGCUCAACCGGGGAACGGGCGCCGAAACGACCCGUCUGGAGGGACGUAGGGGGACCUGGAACUUCCGGUGGAGCGGUGAAAUGCGUUGAGAUCGGAAGGAACGCCCGUGGCGAAAGCGAGGUCCUGGACGUCUACUGACGCUGAGA
rnacentral:rRNA from 1 species